ACUUGUCAAGUAAUUGAAUGCAAGAGAAAUUUUCCCUGCUUCUCACCCCUCUCAUCCUAUGCGAGCAGAGUUGCUUUCAAGUACUUGACAAGUGUAAAUCCGCUAUUAUGAAAAAAUGUUCAUCGCUAGUUUAAUCGAAAAUCGAUAAUAAAAUUAGUUUCUUCUCUAUCAUAUUGAACGUAUGAUUUAUGCAUUGCUGGUGAACGUGGAUUUGUAUUGCUCCUGAAUGGUCGUAUAUGAAAAAAGGAAAAACUGAUGACACUGCGUAUUACUCGAUAUGUGGAUUUGACAUUAACAUUGCAAAUGGAGGGAAGUCAAGCAUUCAAGAUCAUGUAAAAAGUGCUUAGUGCUUUCAAAAAUAACAAUUGCUUCAUGUUCAAAAGAUAUUAGUUCUUUUAUGGUGAAGAAGAAUACACAACUUGAGCAUUUGAUAAAGGUUGCUGAAAUCACAAGCGCCUACAGAAUUGUAAAUCAUCAUCAAUCAUUCAGCUCAUUGGAUUGUACCACAAAACUGGAUGCCGUAUUAUAUCCAGAUUAAAAAAUCGCCGCAAAACAAUCGAACGCCAGGACAACAGCAACAGCCAUCAUAAAGAAUGUUUUGGCACCACAUUCAGUUACGGAAAUCACUAAAAUACUAAAAGAUCAUGUUCCAUUCUUUGGAAUAUCUACCGAUUCGAGCAAUCACAAAGCACAGAAAAUGUUCCCCCUGAUAAUUCAUUAUUUUACGGAGAAAGGGUUGGAUAUAAAAUUAUUAAAAAUACAGUCAAUGCCAAUUGAAACAUCCGAAACAAUAGCAACAUACUGCAUCGAUGCACUAAAAACAGCUGAUAUUCCACUAAAAAAUCUUACGGCUUUUGGUGCAGACAACACAAACGCGAAUUUUGGGGGCAGACAAAGGAAUGGCGUAACUAACGUUUUUUACAAGUUGAAAUCCGAAUUGGGUCGAGAAAUAGGGGACAUUGGUGGUUCUGCUCAUAUCCUCCAAAACACUAUUUCACGUGCUACAGAUGUACUGUCAAUUGACAUUGAAUCUGUUGUUUUGAAGAUAUAUAUAUAUUUCUGCAUCCUCCCGGUUAGAACUGAACGAAUGAAACAGUUUUGUGAAAACGCACAGGUAAUAUUUAACGAAAUACUCUCCCAUACAAUAAGUCGGUGGUUGUCACUUUUGCCUGCAAUAGAGCGUACAUUACAGCUUUGGAUACCGCUCAAAGAAUUCUUUGAGGUUGAAAAAGGAGCAGCGAAAGUAAUUACUGACUUUUUUUAAAAUCCGUUUGCAGAACUAUAUUUCACAUUCAUACACAGCCAAGCUUUUGUAAUUGAGAGACAAAUAAAAAAAAUUGAAAAGCGAAA